AGUUGAGAAUCAAAGACGGGGAUCACUGAUCAAAUUGAGGGCAGCAAUUUAACAGCAUCUUGCAUAAAAGAUUUGGAGGAACCUUUGAAAUACCUGUUGGCAAAACCUGAUGAGAAGACAGCGACAUGCUUGAAACAGAAAUUUGAAGAACAAAAGCUGUUGCCAUUUCUGAGAGAUGAUAAGAAGAUGACAAGACCUACAGCUAUCUACAAGGAGGAACAAAGAAGGAGACAACCAAGAGCUGUGGAUCUGGAGAAGCUGACACUGAUAACGCCCGUCCCACAUCUGAAGCGUCCCUGUUUAUCCCCAAAGGCCAUCAGUUCAGCUCGUGGCUAAGGAAGAAGGAGAAUUGAGAGAAAGAGAACACAUUUUCAGUACCAGAUCAACACUUCAGGCAGAUAGAAGGGUGGGCAGCCAUCCGAGGGGAAGCUUUAAUUUGAGAGAGUCUGUGCUUAACAGCAGCAGUCCAGAGCCCUGCCAUGUCCUUUCCAUCGACUCCUUUUGUUUCUUUCUAAGAAAAAUAUUGUCAGGAGGUCUUUCACAGGGGAGAAGUCAAGGAGGGUAACAGUAAAUCUGCUUGCAGCAGCGAUGGCCAGCCCAGCUCCUGGCUGAUGGCAGCCUUGUGCCGACAGCCUGGCAAAUGAUCCCAAGCCAGAAACAGGACAAAGGACAGUGGUUUUUGGCAAUGCCACCCUCAGGCACUCAGCUGCCAUGGAGGAACUGCGAUCCUGGGGAAAUGAGCCACCUCUCUGCUUGGAGGAGGAGCAGAGUUUACACAUGGGCCCUGGUGCUUGGAGAAUGACUCAAAAUCAGAACAAGGUCCAGAAGGAAAUGAGGAAACUUACAGCAUGAAUGGUACACAUCAGUGAUGUCUGCUGAUACACAGCCAUGUGGGGCAGGGUGAAGCUUGCGCCAGUGACAACCACAAGAGGAGGUGUCUGCUCGGAUGGUUUCAGAAGGCUGUCUACGCUCAGAGGAAGGAUUCAGGGAUGCCAUGAGUGCUUUGAAACACAAAGCAAUGAUGUGCCAUUCAGCACAGCUGUCAAGUGGGGAGCCCAGUCGUGCCGUCUGCUAUGGUAGAAGCUGAGCCAGUCUGGGUGUUACGUGGUGGCCCACAGGCUGGGACAUCAUUGGAGGCUCAGGAGCUGCGGUCCCCAGGUGAGUGAGGAACAAAGGCCUGAGCUGUUUGAGGGCUCUGUCUCCUUUUUGGCCAACCUUCAACAUCAGUUUUGCCCUGGGAAGGAGCAAGGUGUGACUGCAGGAGAACAACAGAUUAAGGUAAGAGGGAGCAGGGAAUGCUCUGGGGCUGUACCAGCACUCCAGAGUGUUCCCAGGAACCUGCUGGGGCAUCUGUGUAGGGAGGUUAAAAAAACAAACAACUUCCUGCCUGUCCCUCCAAAAAAACCAACCCCAAACCCACCCUGC